rnacentral:rRNA from 1 species
AUGUUGAUGCAAGACUAUUUCGUAGAGAAUCCAACGUAUCCAUCGCACCUCUUCCGGAGAAGGUACCGAAUGCGUCGAUCCCUCUUUGUUAGAAUUUUUCAAGCUUGCGAGGCCAAUUGUCGGCAUUUUACUCAACGACGAAAUGCUGCGGGCUUGAAGGGAUUUGGUGCAUAUCAAAAAAUCUUGGCAGCUAUGCGGGUGAUUGCGUAUGGCAUUCCGCCGAUGAGUAUCUUCGCAUUGGUGAAGAUACAACAAUUGAGUCGGUGCAUAGAUUUGCCAAAGUGA